CGUAGGUGGCAAGCGUUGUCCGGAUUUAUUGGGUUUAAAGGGUGCGUAGGCGGCCCUAUAAGUCAGUGCUGAAAUAUCCCGGCUUAACCGGGAGGGUGGCAUUGAUACUGUAGGGCUUGAGUGUAGUCGAGGUAGGCGGAAUUGACGGUGUAGCGGUGAAAUGCUUAGAUAUCGUCAAGAACACCGAUAGUGUAGACAGCUUACUAGGCUACAACUGACGCUGAGGCACGAAAGUGUGGGGAUCAAACAGGAUUAGAUACCCUGGUAGUCCACACUGUAAACGUUGAUUACUCGAUGUUGGCGAUACACAGUCAGCGUCUUAGCGCAAGCGAUAAGUAAUCCACCUGGGGAGUACGCCGGCAACGGUG
rnacentral:rRNA from 1 species